ACCUGGAUGGCUCAGUUGGUUGAGCUUCUGAUUCUUGAUUUUGGCUCGGGUCAUUAUCUAUUAGUUCAUGGGUUCAAGCCCCAUGUCCAGGUU
rnacentral:tRNA from 1 species